CCGGGGAUCCCUAGUAGCGGCGAGCGAAGCGGGAAGAGCUCAAAUUUAUAAUCUGGCACCUUCGGUGUCCGAGUUGUAAUCUCUAGAAGUGUUUUCCGCGUUGGACCGCACACAAGUCUGUUGGAAUACAGCGGCACAGUGGUGAUACCCCCGUACACGGUGCGGACGCCCAGCGCUUUGUGAUACACUUUCAAUGAGUCGAGUUGUUUGGGAAUGCAGCUCAAAUUGGGUGGUAAAUUCCAUCUAAAGCUAAAUAUUGGCGAGAGACCGAUAGCGAACAAGUACCGUGAGGGAAAGAUGAAAAGCACUUUGGAAAGAGAGUUAACAGUACGUGAAAUUGUUGGAAGGGAAACGCUUGAAGUCAGACUUGCUUGCCGGAGCUUGCUUCGGUUUGCAGGCCAGCAUCAGUUUUCCGGGGUGGAUAAUGGUGGUUUGAAGGUAGCAGCCUCGGCUGUGUUAUAGCUUUCCACUGGAUACAUCCUGGGGGACUGAGGAACGCAGCGUGCUUUUUGCGAAGGUUUCGACCUUUUCACGCUUAGGAUGCUGGUGUAAUGACUUUAAACGACCCGUCUUGAAC
rnacentral:rRNA from 1 species